GACGAACGCUGGCGGCGUGCUUAACACAUGCAAAUCGAACGGUGAAAGGGAGCUUGCUCCCUGGAUCAGUGGCGAACGGGUGAGUAACACGUGGGCAACCUGCCCCAGACUUCGGGAUAACGCUUCGAACGGAGUGCUAAUACCGGAUACGAACUCCUUGGGCAUCCUUGGGGUUGGAAAGCUUUUCGGUCUGGGAUGGGCCCGCGGCCUAUCAGCUUGUUGGGGUGGUAACGGCUCACCAAGGCGACGACGGGUAGCCGGCCUGAGAGGGCGACCGGCCACACUGGGACUGAGACACGGCCCAGACUCCUACGGGAGGCAGCAGUGGGGAAUAUUGCGCAAUGGGCGAAAGCCUGACGCAGCAACGCCGCGUGAGGGAUGACGGCCUUCGGGUUGUAAACCUCUUUCAGCAGGGAAGAAGCGAAAGUGACGAUACCUGCAGAAGAAGCACCGGCUAACUACGUGCCAGCAGCCGCCGUAA
rnacentral:rRNA from 1 species